rnacentral:tRNA from 2 species
CCGGCCUUAGCUCAGUUGGUAGAGCGGAGGACUGUAGAUCCUUAGGUCGCUGGUUCGAAUCCGGCAGGCCGGA